UACGUAGGUGGCAAGCGUUGUCCGGAUUUACUGGGCGUAAAGAGCGCGCAGGCGGUCGUUCAAGUCGCGUGUGAAAGCCCCCGGCUCAACUGGGGAGGGUCACGCGAUACUGAUCGACUCGAAGGCAGGAGAGGGAAGUGGAAUUCCCGGUGUAGUGGUGAAAUGCGUAGAUAUCGGGAGGAACACCGGUGGCGAAGGCGGCAUCCUGGACCGACACUGACACUGAGGAGCGAAAGCCAGGGGAGCAAACGGG
rnacentral:rRNA from 1 species